GACGAACGCUGGCGGCGUGCCUAAUACAUGCAAGUAGAACGCUGAAGGAGGAGCUUGCUUCUCUGGAUGAGUUGCGAACGGGUGAGUAACGCGUAGGUAACCUGCCUGGUAGCGGGGGAUAACUAUUGGAAACGAUAGCUAAUACCGCAUAAUAGUAGAUGUUGCAUGACAUUUGCUUAAAAGGUGCAAUUGCAUCACUACCAGAUGGACCUGCGUUGUAUUAGCUAGUUGGUGAGGUAACGGCUCACCAAGGCGACGAUACAUAGCCGACCUGAGAGGGUGAUCGGCCACACUGGGACUGAGACACGGCCCAGACUCCUACGGGAGGCAGCAGUAGGGAAUCUUCGGCAAUGGACGGAAGUCUGACCGAGCAACGCCGCGUGGGUGAAGAAGGUUUUCGGAUCGUAAAGCUCUGUUGUAAGAGAAGAACGAGUGUGAGAGUGGAAAGUUCACACUGUGACGGUAUCUUACCAGAAAGGGACGGCUAACUACGUG
rnacentral:rRNA from 1 species